UACGAAGGGGGCUAGCGUUUCUCGGAAUCACUGGGCGUAAAGGGUGCGUAGGCGGGUCUUUAAGUCAGGGGUGAAAUCCUGGAGCUCAACUCCAGAACUGCCUUUGAUACUGAGGAUCUUGAGUUCGGGAGAGGUGAGUGGAACUGCGAGUGUAGAGGUGAAAUUCGUAGAUAUUCGCAAGAACACCAGUGGCGAAGGCGGCUCACUGGCCCGAUACUGACGCUGAGGCACGAAAGCCUGGGGAGCAAACAGG
rnacentral:rRNA from 1 species